rnacentral:misc_RNA from 1 species
GAUCAUCAGUGAUAUAGUUUUGCUGGAUUUUAAGAAAUUUACAUGGAAUUUCACAUUGUCCACAUCUCUGAAAAUUCCAAAAAGAAUGGUGGUUACAGAACAAAACAAGAAAUGAGGAGCUCCAGUGCUACAAUUACAACCUGGCUAUGCUUUUCCAAAUAUAUUAGAUAUGUCAUAUUCUUGGAGUCUUGUUUCUUUUCUUUUUCUUCUUCCUCGAUCAUUCCUCCUCUCUCUGAUUUGAAGAAGCUCUGAUUUGCCACAUAGAAGAAAUCGAUGCCACACAGAGGCAUGAGGUUUCCAAGUUGGGUUUCUUCAAAUCUUGUCAAUAUUAAGUUACUGGAUUGCAGAUGUCAGCAUCUCCCACCAUUGCAUCAAAUCCCUUCUCUUCAAAACUUAGAGAUUUCGGGAUUAAAUGAUUUAGAAUACAUAGAAAUUGAGGGACAAGGAACAUCAUUCUUCCCAUCCCUCAAGUAUCUGAAAAUACAGUUUUGUUCUAAACUGAUAGGAUGGCGGAAGAAGAGGUAUGAAGAUGAUAGUGAUGAUUCAACCACCAUAUCAUCACCAGACCUACUCCAAUUUCCUUGUCUUUCUGAAUUCCACUGUAGGCGUUGCCCUAAUUUGAGUUUGAUUCCUCAGUUUCCAUCUCUCGAUGAAGAUUUAGAAUUGAGGGAAGUGAGCGUGCAACUUGUGCAGCAAAUAU